rnacentral:rRNA from 1 species
UUUAACUGAAGAGUUUGAUCAUGGCUCAGAUUGAACGCUGGCGGCAGGCUUAACACAUGCAAGUCGAGCGGGGGAAGGUAGCUUGCUACCGGACCUAGCGG